rnacentral:rRNA from 1 species
UGCCGCGUGCGGGAAGAAGGCCUUCGGGUUGUAAACCGCUUUUGUCAGGGAAGAAAUCCUGUGGGCUAAUACCCUGUGGGGAUGACGGUACCUGGAGAAUAAGCACCGGCUAACUACGUGCCAGCAGCCGCGGUAAUACGUAGGGUGCGAGCGUUAAUCGGAAUUACUGGGCGUAAAGCGUGCGCAGGCGGUUCUAUAAGACAGAUGUGAAAUCCCCGGGCUCAACCUGGGAACUGCAUUUGUGACUGUAGAGCUGGAGUGCGGCAGAGGGGGAUGGAAUUCCGCGUGUAGCAGUGAAAUGCGUAGAUAUGCGGAGGAACACCGAUGGCGAAGGCAAUCCCCUGGGCCUGCACUGACGCUCAUGCACGAAAGCGUGGGGAGCAAACAGGAUUAGAUACCCUGGUAGUCCACGCCCUAAACGAUGUCAACUGGUUGUUGGACGGCUUGCUGUUCAGUAACGAAGCUAACGCGUGAAGUUGACCGCCUGGGGAGUACGGCCGCAAGGUUGAAACUCAAAUG